rnacentral:rRNA from 1 species
UGAUCCUGGCUCAGGACGAACGCUGGCGGCGUGCUUAACACAUGCAAGUCGAACGGGAUCUGCGUGGCCUUUGUGGUUGUGUGGUGAGAGUGGCGAACGGGUGAGUAACACGUGAGUAACCUGCCUUUUUCUUUGGGAUAACGCUCAGAAAUGGGUGCUAAUACUGGAUGUUCUGCGCUUUCCGCAUGGGGGGUGUGGGAAAGGGGCCUUUGUGGUUUCUGGAGGGAGAUGGGCUCGCGGCUUAUCAGCUUGUUGGUGGGGUGAUGGCUUACCAAGGCUUUGACGGGUAGCCGGCCUGAGAGGGUGGGCGGUCACAUUGGGACUGAGAUACGGCCCAGACUCCUACGGGAGGCAGCAGUGGGGAAUUUUGCACAAUGGGGGGAACCUUGAUGCAGCGACGCCCGCGUGAGGGAUGGAGGCCUUCGGGUUGUGAACCUCUUUCGCUCGUGUGCAAGCCGCUAYUUGGGUAGUGGUGAGUGUAGCGGGUAAAGAAGCGCCGGCUAACUACGUGCCAGCAGCCGCGGUAAUACGUAGGGCGCGAGCGUUGUCCGGAUUUAUUGGGCGUAAAGGGCUUGUAGGCGGUUUGUCGCGCCUGUCGUGUAAUCCUCUGGCUUAACUGGGGGUGUGCGGUGGGUACGGGCAGGCUUGAGUGCGGUAGGGGAGAUUGGAAUUCCUGGUGUAGCGGUGGAAUGCGCAGAUAUCAGGAGGAACACCGGUGGCGAAGGCGGGUCUCUGGGCCGUUACUGACGCUGAGGAGCGAAAGCGUGGGGAGCGAACAGGAUUAGAUACCCUGGUAGUCCAUGCUGUAAACGUUGGGCACUAGGUGUGGGGGCCGCCCUUGGUUUCUGCGCCGUAGCUAACGCUUUAAGUGCCCCGCCUGGGGAGUACGGCCGCAAGGCUAAAACUCAAAGGAAUUGACGGGGGCCCGCACAAGCGGCGGAGCAUGCGGAUUAAUUCGAUGCAACGCGAAGAACCUUACCAAGGCUUGACAUGCGCCCUGAGCGCCUAGAGAUAGGUGUGCAUUUGGU